ACGAACGCUGGCGGCGUGCUUAACACAUGCAAGUCGAACGGUAAGGCCCUUUCGGGGGUACACGAGUGGCGAACGGGUGAGUAACACGUGGGUGAUCUGCCCUGCACUUUGGGAUAAGCCUGGGAAACUGGGUCUAAUACCGGAUAGGACUACGCGAUGCAUGUCGUGUGGUGGAAAGCUUUUGCGGUGUGGGAUGGGCCCGCGGCCUAUCAGCUUGUUGGUGGGGUGAUGGCCUACCAAGGCGACGACGGGUAGCCGGCCUGAGAGGGUGUCCGGCCACACUGGGACUGAGAUACGGCCCAGACUCCUACGGGAGGCAGCAGUGGGGAAUAUUGCACAAUGGGCGCAAGCCUGAUGCAGCGACGCCGCGUGGGGGAUGACGGCCUUCGGGUUGUAAACCCCUUUCAGCACAGACGAAGCGUAAGUGACGGUAUGUGCAGAAGAAGCACCGGCCAACUACGUG
rnacentral:rRNA from 1 species